rfam:Picea glauca, whole genome shotgun sequence.
ACAUGCAUAUAACAUAGUGUUAAUGCAUCGGAUCACAUUAGAACUUUGUAGUUAAGCGCGCUCGGGCUAGAGUAUUACUGGGAUGGGUGAUCACCCGAGAAUUCCUAGCCUUUUACAUGCC